GUCUGUUUCUAUUUCUUUCUCUUCCUAUUUCUCUGUUUCAAAGUGCAUUGCAGGUCUGAUACGUAACACUCCCAUUGGUAUUGUUGGUGUUAUUCGAAUCACUUGCAUGCUAUUUAAUGUUGAAAAAUUUCAUGAUUGUUAGGACCAUUAAGCUCUUUAUUAAACAUCCUGAAAUGCCAUUUGUCUUCUGUUUUUCUCUGCCGACAUUGCUUGACGGUACUGGUGCCUGGUUUUUACAUCUUUUAUUAAUUGUUUUAGGAUCAGGAAAAGAUUAAGAGA
rnacentral:misc_RNA from 1 species